CAAUGUGGCCAAAUCACUCUGAAUGAGCCCAAUCUUGUCAAGAUCUCAGACGCUAAAGAUUAUUGAUCCUGGUUAGUAUUCGGAUGGGAGACUGUCUCUGGCAAUACUAAAUGUUGUAGUCU
rnacentral:rRNA from 1 species